UGAAGAUUGACUUUUUCUCUCAAACUUUCAUCUCCUCUCUAUGUUCUUACAAGUUUAUACACAGAUCUGCCAUUGAAUCUUUGAAGAUUAUUGAAGAUUGAUCAUUUAGUGAUCAGAGUCUGGUUCAUCGUGCAAAACAGCAGCUGAUUUAGACAAGGCCCAUUUUUUUUCUUCGAUAAAGAUGCAGAGCUACAUAUGGCUGAAGAAAGCCUUUCUGGAUUGAAACAGGUUCAAGUGGAGUACUAGGGUUGAAGAAAGCUUUUCUGUAAUUUGGUUUAGUGACAGACUUGAUUUUGGUUUUGAUUUUGGUUUUGAUUGAUUGAUUUUGGUUUAGUUUUCUUAUUGGUGCUGCUUUAUUGAUUUGGUUGUAGCAGAUGCAUUUAUAUAGGGCUGUUAGAAAUGUUGAUGGCACUAUAUCUUAUGAUAGCAAUGCACGCUUUGUGAGAUGGUUGGACGGUAGCUUACAGUUGCUCAUUGGCAACGAAGUUCUUGAUAUCUCAGUGCAGGAUGCGCAGCAUGAUCAAGCUCAUCUUUUUCUUAGACAAGAGAAGGGAAAUUAUUGAAGCCUGGUCAUUGUUUGACUGUCCCCAGUAACCUUGUAGCCCAAUUUUCGGAUCUCAUCAUCAGAUAGCUCUAGUUCAAUAUCAUUUAAGGCCUCUGUUGUCUGCUUCACAAUAGAAUGUUCUAUUCUAGUUGCUGAACAGAAAGCUCUUGUUCACUCUAAUUCAUAUCCAAAGCCCUCUGUUGAUAAAUGGUUGCCUGAUUAAAGUGACCAGUGUGGUAAAGAACUACUACAGGGAGACUGUAUGCACUAGUGGUGGAGUGGUGAUAAGGACCACAUACAGCUAUCAUCUUUGCAAGUGCCUUGGUUCCACAGUUAACUGCAUCUUCUAGCUUUCCUUUAUCCAGAACUCUUAAAUGGCUUUGGACUUCCCAUAUCGUAGUCUCUUGGAACCAAUUCCGAUCCAAUCUUGUGACACAGUCCUCUAAGAAUCGAUAACUUCUAAAAAAUUCAAGGUUGAGACUAUUGCUGCUGACAACUCCGCAAAGUUCUCAACAGAGGCAAUAACAGCUUCAAGUAUAUACUUAAAGGCACGUGUCACCAUCUCGUGAAUACAUAUUGAUCGUAUAUGCGGAAGUUUCUCAGCAAGUUUAACCACACAUCCCAAAGAUUGUGGUUUCUGUAUAAAGGUGGAGUUGGUGUCAAAAUGGACUCUCAAUUAGGCUAAUUUGUUCAUCAAAUUCGGAUAGCAUCUCAAGCAGAUUUCACAUUCUCUGUCAUCCAGGCAUCCACAAGGAAUAUGUUUUACAUUACUGAAAUCAUUUAGCUUUUUGAUUAAUGUGUCUGUUUUGAGAUUUUACUGCAGAGUGCAUGUGUGCAAUCUUGAACAAGCUAUGGUGCUGUUGUCCAAGAUGCUAUAUUGAGUGGUGAAGGUAACCAGAAGCAAAAUUGCAUGGUAGGAAACAGGAGGAUUUCAUUAUAAAGAAGACAAUCACUCAGAGGAAGGCUGGAUGGCUCAAAAGUUAGACAGGAACUGUUUUGAUUUUCCUCGGACAAACCUUUAUUUGUAUUCAAGUUUAUCUUUAUCUGUA